rnacentral:lncRNA from 1 species
AUGGGUCCUCAGCAGCCAUGUUUGUAUUAUGUAUUUCUCCUCGACUGGACUAAGCAAGAACGCCUGACUCAAGCGAGCCAAUCACAUUCUGUCUUCCAGGAACUGGCACUGAGCAAAUUAGUUCCCAUCACUGAAUCUGGAUCAUGUAACAUCUGGGGCAGCCAAAUUCCACCAAGCAGAUUAAGCACAGAGGCAAGCUCUCCCUCACAGCGAUGGAAGGUGUCUCAAUCGAGUCUGGAACAUCAUGCGUGCUUAUUGGCAUCCAGCAGGGGUGAAAAGUCUACUUCAAGAUAAAUUAUCAAGACAAACAAAAAUCCCAGGUACGACAAGGAGGUGGUAAAUAUCCAUACAGGGACCUCCAGCUCUAAGACAUGGAAGGGAAUGAAUCCGUU